rnacentral:rRNA from 1 species
GACGAACGCUGGCGGCGUGCUUAACACAUGCAAGUCGAACGGACAGGCGCUGCGUUUGUUGCUUUCUCGUGUGGCGAGCGGGUGAGUAACACGUGUGUAACCUCCCCUUGACUUUGGGAUAACUUCUGGAGACUGCGGCUAAUACCCGAUAUGAGCUCCUGCUGCAUGGUGUUCGUUGGAAAGUUUCGGCGGUUGUGGAUGGACUCGCGGCUUAUCAGCUUGUUGGUGGGGUAGUUGCUUACCAAGGCUUUGACGGGUAGCCGGCCUGAGAGGGGGACCGGCGACAGUGGGACUGAGAUACGGCCCAGACGCCUACGGGAGGCAGCAGUGGAGAAUAUGGCAGAAUGGGCGGAAGCCUGAUGCAGCAACGCCGCGUGCGGGAUGACGGCCUUCGGGUUGUAAACCGCUGUCGCCGGAGACGAAGAGGGAGUGACGGUAAUGGGUAAAGAAGCACCGGCUAACUACGUG